rnacentral:rRNA from 1 species
GACGUAGGGCGCGAGCGUUGUCCGGAUUUAUUGGGCGUAAAGAGCUCGUAGGCGGCUUGUCGCGUCGACUGUGAAAACCCAUGGCUCAACCAUGGGCUUGCAGUCGAUACGGGCGGGCUAGAGUUCGGUAGGGGAGACUGGAAUUCCUGGUGUAGCGGUGAAAUGCGCAGAUAUCAGGAGGAACACCGGUGGCGAAGGCGGGUCUCUGGGCCGAUACUGACGCUGAGGAGCGAAAGCGUGGGGAGCGAACAGG